GAUGAACGCUGGCGGCGUGCCUAAUACAUGCAAGUCGAGCGAACGGACGAGAAGCUUGCUUCUCUGAUGUUAGCGGCGGACGGGUGAGUAACACGUGGAUAACCUACCUAUAAGACUGGGAUAACUUCGGGAAACCGGAGCUAAUACCGGAUAAUAUUUUGAACCGCAUGGUUCAAAAGUGAAAGACGGUCUUGCUGUCACUUAUAGAUGGAUCCGCGCUGCAUUAGCUAGUUGGUAAGGUAACGGCUUACCAAGGCAACGAUGCAUAGCCGACCUGAGAGGGGGGUCGGCCAACCUGGAACUGAGACACGGUCCCGACUCCUAAGGGAGGCCGCAGUAGGGAAUCCUCCGGAAUGGGCGGAAGCCUUAAGGAACAAACGCGGGUGAGUUAAGGAAGUCUUCCGAUCGUAAAACCCUUUUAUUAGGGAAGAACAUAUGUGUAAGUAACUGUGCACAUCUUGACGGUACCUAAUCAGAAAGCCACGGCUAACUACGUG
rnacentral:rRNA from 1 species